UUACUCUCUCUUGGGAGCCCUUGGUGUGCUAUUUUCGUUUCUUCACUAUGAAUGAGCAAGAUCACAUCUUUCUUCUUCUAUUAUGUGCAACAAUGCUUGUUCUUGCUUGAUGGAAUGAAGAUUUACCAUUUCUCUCUUUAGAUUUUCGUUUUGAAGGUUAAAUGCUUGAGUUUGAAGCUUCUUCUUUGCUUUUUCAUGGUGGUUUCCUUGGUGGAAGGGAGACCCAUUGCCCAUUUCGGUUUUCUCAUCAUUUUGCUGCAUUGAUUUCGUUUUUAUUUUGAGUUUCUUGGUUUGGAGGAUGAAAAUGGAGUUGUUGUCAAGUUUGGUAGUGAAAAAGGCUUAAGUUGGUGCAUGGGUAUUGUAUUCUUGAGCCAUUUUCUUCUAGCAUUUUGUUCUUGAUGUUUGGAAGCAUAUUUUGAGCUGGACUUUGUGAUUGAUGAUGGUGGCUGGAUGGUAAUGCUAGGGAAGCUAGAG
rnacentral:lncRNA from 1 species